GAUUCUGGGACUCAACACCACUUGCUGUAUUAAUAGCAUGUAUUAAUAUCUAUCUAUCCUUUAGAUGGAUAGAAAGAUAGACAGAAAGCCCACAUUGGUGUAGGUUUCAAGGCGCUUUUGUGGCACGUUGUGAAGAAACGCAGGUAGGAAGAGAAUCCAUGUGACUGCAGUGGGGUCCUGAGGCGAAACUUUCAGUCAGUUAAAUGCAGGCCCCUUCUACACUGCCAGAAAUGGCAAAGCCUUGUGAAACGGACGGAAGAAAUAAAGGCAAAAUUUUUGAAAAUUUCCACAGCUUUUUCUGAAGGGACCAGG